rnacentral:rRNA from 1 species
GGGGAAUCUUGGACAAUGGGCGCAAGCCUGAUCCAGCCAUGCCGCGUGAGUGAUGAAGGCCCUAGGGUUGUAAAGCUCUUUCGCAGGUGAAGAUAAUGACGGUAACCUGAGAAGAAGCCCCGGCUAACUUCGUGCCAGCAGCCGCGGUAAUACGAAGGGGGCUAGCGUUGUUCGGAAUUACUGGGCGUAAAGCGCACGUAGGCGGAUUGUUAAGUUAGGGGUGAAAUCCCGGGGCUCAACCCCGGAACUGCCUCUAAUACUGGCAAUCUCGAGUCCGAGAGAGGUGAGUGGAAUUCCGAGUGUAGAGGUGAAAUUCGUAGAUAUUCGGAGGAACACCAGUGGCGAAGGCGGCUCACUGGCUCGGUACUGACGCUGAGGUGCGAAAGCGUGGGGAGCAAAC